rfam:Ktedonobacter sp. 13_2_20CM_53_11 13_2_20cm_scaffold_647, whole genome shotgun sequence.
GUCAAUUACCCCCUCCUGAAGGAGGAGGCUUGCAAAAGCCUUGAUUGACUAGCCUUGGUGCGUAGGCACUCCGUUCAAAAAGUCAGGAUACCUUCAAAUGCUUGCUCUAGUUUGAAGCACUAUCGCCUGCGAUUAAAUCGUUCUGAUGGGUAGGAGCCGUGUCACAGGCCGAACAAGCUUUUUGAACAUUGGCGAAGAGCACCUUAC